rnacentral:rRNA from 1 species
UACAGGGGGGGCAAGCGUUGUUCGGAAUUACUGGGCGUAAAGGGCUUGUAGGUGGCCAACUAAGUCACACGUGAAAUCCCCAGGCUUAACCUGGGAACUGCGUGUGAUACUGGAUGGCUUGAAUCCGGGAGAGGGAUGCGGAAUUCCAGGUGUAGCGGUGAAAUGCGUAGAUAUCAUGGAGGAACACCGGUGGCGAAGGCAGGGUCUCUGGGCAGUAACUGACGCUGAGGAGCGAAAGCGUGGGGAGCGAACAGG